rnacentral:rRNA from 1 species
UACGUAGGGGGCAAGCGUUGUCCGGAAUCAUUGGGCGUAAAGCGCGUGUAGGCGGCUUAGUAAGUCCGCUCUGAAAGCCCGGGGCUCAACCCCGGGAGGCGGGUGGAUACUGCUGAGCUCGAGUCCGGAAGAGGCGAGUGGAAUUCCCGGUGUAGCGGUGAAAUGCGCAGAUAUCGGGAGGAACACCAAUGGCGAAGGCAGCUCGCUGGGACGUGACUGACGCUGAGACGCGAAAGCGUGGGGAGCAAACAGG